CGAUGCCUCACAAUCAGAUUGACCGGCGAAUUCGUUUAUCUACCGAGGGGGCUGGCUCGGGGUGCUGUGUCGAACAGCACCACGUCCUCCCCCCGCGUCGGGCGGGGGUCGCGCCCGCUCCUGGGCUCGGCCUCCUCCCGACAAACACAAACCCCGGCGCUUCGUGCGCCAAGGAAUUGAAAACUGUUAAGUGCGACUCUCGGGGGCCCGGAGACGGUGUCCUGCGGGCGUUGUCACGACACAUUAUACAAAAUGACUCUCGGCAACGGAUAUCUCGGCUCUUGCAUCGAUGAAGAACGUAGCGAAAUGCGAUACUUGGUGUGAAUUGCAGAAUCCCGUGAACCAUCGAGUCUUUGAACGCAAGUUGCGCCCGAAGCCAUUAGGCUGAGGGCACGCCUGCCUGGGUGUCACACGUCGUUACCCCCACGCCAGCCAUUGCGCGGCUCGGCGGGGUGUACGCUGACUUCCCGCGAGCUCCGUCUCGCGGUUGGUUCAAAACCGAGUUCGUGGCCGGGUACGCCGUGACAGAAUGGUGGAUGGGCUAUGCUCGAGACCAAACGCGUCACGUGCGGCUCUGCCAGUCCCGGACUCUCCGACCCACGUGCGUCCUUCCUCGCACGCACUCCGUGCGAGCGAGGCGCUCUCAAC
rnacentral:rRNA from 1 species